ACAUGCUACAUGCUGAGACUACAAAGAUGAGUUAGAAUACAUUCCUGUCUCUCAAAAGCUCACCUUCACGUGGAGGAGAGACUUAGGCAAGCCCAUGAUUUCAGUUCCAUGUGGUCGAGUGAAGCCCAGUGAGACAGUGGAGGAGAGGGGUCAUGCCACUGCAGUUCCUCGCUAUGCCAUUCAUACAGAGCAUUCUCCAUGCUCAGGAGUCCAGGAGUCCAGUGGGCCCAUGAUGCCCAGGAGCUCGUCGAGACUCAGGGAGCAAAACAGAUCCAUUGAAAAUGACACGAGAAGGAACGAGAGAGCAAGGAUGAUCCAUAGCUCCCUGCCCUUUCAUUCAGCCUCAUCAUAAGCCAAAGGUGCGGAAGACCUACUUAAAACCUGAGAGUCUCGAAUAGGAGAGGCGCUUUCAGAUCAGCCCGAGUCUUCUGCAGCGCACAGGAGCUAGUCGUACUGAAAAGAAUGAAGUUGGACUUGUCCAGGCGAGUUUCGGACAGUGCUGGGCUGCCCUGCUCUGAUCUCCUGGGUGUCUUCACCUCCUCUGGUUCCUAAGUCGGCUGCUGCACCAGCACCCAUCAAACUCUCCUGGAAGAGGAAGUGACAGCUCACCGGUAGCCUAGAAGGCCCCUGUGGGCAGAAGCAUGGACUUACUCCUCCUCAUGGAGAUGCGGCUGAGCCAUAUUUCCUUGGCACCUCUCUGGAACCUUCGACAACCACCACCUCAGACACUAACCAGACUUUAGGUCCAUUCCUUUCAUGGCUAAAAUGAGACAGUCCACAAUGUUGAUUUUAUUUGUAGGGGAUGUCAGGAUUCCAGAAAAGCAGACUUGGAAAGCAACAAAACGUUAACUUGCAGCUCACUGAGGCCCUUACACUUGUUCUGGGCACCUCUGUAUGUUAAAAGAAGUCCAAUAUCUUUAGCUGCUGGUUAUAGGUGGCCAUAUGUUUCUGCACAGAAAUGGGGCUCCCCUUGCUAGACUAAUUUUCUAAUUUUUCCUCAAGCUUCAUUGAUUCAUAUUCUUCUACUUGACCCUGACUGUCAGGACCAACAACACCAAAUAACACCAAAGUCUCUUGCUCCUGUCCUCAGAACCUCUCAGAGGCAUCCUCUGCCCUGUUGGAGCCAUUUUAUUUCAGGUUGAUCCUUAAUUAAAUUCAGCGAGAUGCAGGAC
rnacentral:lncRNA from 1 species